rnacentral:rRNA from 1 species
UACGUAGGGUGCAAGCGUUAAUCGGAAUUACUGGGCGUAAAGCGUGCGCAGGCGGUUAUGCAAGACAGAUGUGAAAUCCCCGGGCUCAACCUGGGAACUGCAUUUGUGACUGCAUAGCUAGAGUACGGUAGAGGGGGAUAGAAUUCCGCGUGUAGCAGUGAAAUGCGUAGAUAUGCGGAGGAACACCGAUGGCGAAGGCAAUCCCCUGGACCUGUACUGACGCUCAUGCACGAAAGCGUGGGGAGCAAACAGG